GCAGUGGAGGUUCAGUGGUAGAAUUCUCACCUUCCGUGCAGGAGACUCAGGUUCAAUUCCUGGCCAAUGUA
rnacentral:tRNA from 1 species